UACGAAGGGGGCUAGCGUUGUUCGGAAUUACUGGGCGUAAAGCGCGCGUAGGCGGCGCAGCAAGUCAGUGGUGAAAUCCCGAGGCUUAACCUCGGAACUGCCAUUGAAACUACUGCGCUGGAAUCUCAAAGGGGAUAGCGGAAUUCCAAAUGUAGGGGUGAAAUCCGUAGAUAUUUGGAGGAACACCGGUGGCGAAGGCGGCUAUCUGGAUGAGUAUUGACGCUGAGGCGCGAAAGCGUGGGGAUCAAACAGG
rnacentral:rRNA from 1 species